rnacentral:hammerhead_ribozyme from 1 species
GCACUGCUGAGGAGUCUAAAAUAGGACGAAAUGGCUAUUCAGUGC